rnacentral:tRNA from 1 species
GGCCGUGGGGCGGCAGCAGUGACCCGGCGGCCACCAACCUAUGCACCAACCGUCCGACUGAAAAUCGGAAGGCCGGCGGUUCGACCCCGCCCCUGGCCA